UUGCUUCAGCAGUAGCUAUACCAGAAUUAAAAUGAUGCAGAGAAGAUUAGCAUGGUACCUAUGUAAGGAUGAUACACAAAUUCAUCAAAAAAUAUUCCAUAUUUUU